GUGCUCGUUUCAGUAGCACAUGUACUAAAACUGGAAGGAACAGAGAAGGUUAGCACAGGCCCUGCGCAAGGAGCAGGGCAAAUGGGCAAGGCAGUCCGUGGUUUU
ensembl:snRNA U6 U6 spliceosomal RNA